UUUCCGUAGGUGAACCUGCGGAAGGAUCAUUACCGUUGGGGCCCCGGCCCCAAUCAAGAUACCACCCUUGCAUUUUAAGUACCCUCUGUUUCCUCGGCGGGCCUGCCCGCCAGAGGACCGCACCCAAAACCCUUCUGUAGUUGCAGUAAACGUCUCAAAAACAAAAAUAAUCAAAACUUUCAACAACGGAUCUCUUGGUUCUGGCAUCGAUGAAGAACGCAGC
rnacentral:misc_RNA from 1 species